GAUGAACGCUGGCGGCGUGCCUAAUACAUGCAAGUCGAGCGAACAGACGAGGAGCUUGCUCCUCUGACGUUAGCGGCGGACGGGUGAGUAACACGUGGAUAACCUACCUAUAAGACUGGGAUAACUUCGGGAAAACGGAGCUAAUACCGGAUAAUAUAUUGAACCGCAUGGUCCAAUAGUGAAAGACGGUUUUGCUGUCACUUAUAGAUGGAUCCGCGCCGCAUUAGCUAGUUGGUAAGGUAACGGCUUACCAAGGCAACGAUGCGUAGCCGACCUGAGAGGGGGAUCGGCCACACUGGAACUGAGACACGGUCCAGACUCCUACGGGAGGCAGCAGUAGGGAAUCUGCCGCAAGGGGCGAAAGCCUGACGGAGCAACGCCGCGUGAGUGAUGAAGGUCUUCGGAUCGUAAAACUCUGUUAUUAGGGAAGAACAAAUGUGUAUGUAACUAUGCACGUCUUGACGGUACCGAAGCAGAAAGCCACGGCUAACUACGU
rnacentral:rRNA from 1 species